UACGGAGGAUGCGAGCGUUAUCCGGAUUUAUUGGGUUUAAAGGGUACGUAGGCGGUUUUUUUAAGUUCAGUGGUGAAAUCCUGCGGCUCAACCGUAGAACUGCCAUUGAAACUGAAGAACUUGAAUAUAGUUGAGGUAGGCGGAAUGUGCAGUGUAGCGGUGAAAUGCUUAGAUAUUGCACAGAACACCGAUUGCGAAGGCAGCUUACCAAGCUAUUAUUGACGCUGAGGCACGAAAGCAUGGGGAUCGAACAGGACUUAGAUA
rnacentral:rRNA from 1 species